UAGGGAAGAGUUUCUUGUCUUAAGAAUCCUCUCCUUCUAAGAUAUAAAUAGAACGAUGUAUCCAUUGUUUUCCUCCACGUAAAUACAUGGUCACAGACAAAGACGUAGCCAUCAGAUCAACUAGAGAACUCCAAGUCUCGACCAGAAACUCAUAGCUGGGAAAUUUGGUCAGCAUUCGGUUGCUGUUGCAGCAAGUUAUAAUUCAACUGUUAAUUAAAUGCUCAGGUUAAAUGUCUAUUGCUCUUUAAUCCCUUGUCCAAGGCAAAUCAAACAAGGAAGCAGCUACAGAUCAUGGAUCAUAAAGUACCAUCUAGCUCAGAAACCAUUUUCUUCGGUUUCUGUCAAGGCCUUGAAGGAUGAGACAGAACGGGGUACAAGCAGCUUUCCAGGCCGAAGAUGGGAUCCUGGCUUGGAAAUUGAGGUCCCUUUUGAUCAAAGACCGGAGAACGAGUAUGAAUCUCUGAAAGAUGGAGCCUUGUAGUCUUGGGUUGAACUGGGUCCACAAUCACUUUUUCUUCGUCUUGGAGGUCUCUGGUUAGUAACCUUCACAGUUCUUGGAUUGCCAAUUGCGGCUGCAAGUUUCAAUCCUGCAAGGGAGCCUUUAAGAUUUGUGCUGGCUGCUAGAACUGGAACUUUACUCCUUGUGUCAUUGAUAGUCCUAAGAAUUUAUCUGGGAUGGAGUUAUGCUGGAGAUAGACUUCUAUCAGCAGUGAUUCCCCAUGAAGAGAGUGGAUGGUAUCAUGGACAAACGCGGGUGAAGCCACCUGAGGUCCUGGCUCGUGACAGAUUGUUGGGCUCUUGCAAGGUUAAACCAGUCAUCAAAUUGCUGAAACAAACACUAGUAGGAACAGUUGCAUUGCUCGUUACAGCAGUAUUACUAUUUAUCUUUGACGCACCCAUGGAGAAUUUCUUUCAAAACAAUUUUGCCACAAAAGAGAGCCCAUCAAAUGAUCCAACUUCAAAUAUCAACACAAAGAAUAAUAUCAGGUAUGAUUUGCCGGUGGAGGUUAUGGCUGAGGAUGAUUUGGCAGCAGCUGCUGCCAAGGCUGCUUUUGGAAGACCAGUCCACUGCAGAGAUAGAUAUUAUCGUGCGUUAGCAGGUGGGCAGUACUCCAAAUGGGAAGAUCAUGUUAAAUAAUGGGAAAGAAAGAGGCGCGGUUAACCUUGUUUUCAUAAAUUUGUAACUUGUGCCCACUGGAGUACAACUUUAUCUUUAAAGUUUUGUCCCUUUAUUUUUAAAGAACCAAUUAGGUUUAAAAAAAUAAGAACAGACAAGAAACUACAAAAGAAAGAAACAAGAAUGGUAU